rnacentral:piRNA from 1 species
UGGGGCUGAAAUGCACAUCUCCAGGCAUGGU